rnacentral:rRNA from 1 species
AACGAACGCUGGCGGCAGGCUUAGCACAUGCAAGUCGAACGCCCCGCAAGGGGAGUGGCAGACGGGUGAGUAACGCGUGGGAACAUACCCUUUCCUGCGGAAUAGCUCUGGGAAACUGGAAUUAAUACCGCAUACGCCCUACGGGGGAAAGAUUUAUCGGGGAAGGAUUGGCCCGCGUUGGAUUAGCUAGUUGGUGGGGUAAAGGCCUACCAAGGCGACGAUCCAUAGCUGGUCUGAGAGGAUGAUCAGCCACAUUGGGACUGAGACACGGCCCAAACUCCUACGGGAGGCAGCAGUGGGGAACAUUGGACAAUGGGCGCAAGCCUGAUCCAGCCAUGCCGCGUGAGUGAUGAAGGCCUUAGGGUUGUAAAGCUCUUUCACCGAUGAAGAUAAUGACGGUAGUCGGAGAAGAAGCCCCGGCUAACUUCGUGCCAGCCGCCGCAGUAAUAC